CGCUCGAUGUUUUUCUUUUAUAUCGAGUCGAACCUGCCCAGUGAUUUUUAUUUAACGGCCGCAGUACUCUGACUGUGCAAAGGUAGCAUAAUCAUUUGCCUUAUAAUUGAAGGCUAGUAUGAAUGGUUUGACAAGAAUAACGCUGUCUCUUAUAGAUUCUAUAGAAUUUGGUUUUUAGGUGAAGAAACCUAAAUAUAAUUAAAAGACAAGAAGACCCUAUCGAGCUUAAAAUAAUUUUUUUGGUAUAAUAAUAGCACCUUACUCAAAAAAAAAUUUUAGUUGGGGCGACUAAGGAACAUAAAAAGCUUCCUAUAAACUAUAGCUACUAAUAAGUAUUGAUCCAAAAAAUUUGAUUAACAGAAUUAGUUACCGUAGGGAUAACAGCAUAAUCUUUUCUAAGAGUUCUUAUCGAAGAAAAGGUUUGUGACCUCGAUGUUGGACUAGGGUGCCCAGACAGGUGCAGAAGCCUUCAAUGGUUGGUCUGUUCGACCAUUAAUACCCUACA
rnacentral:rRNA from 1 species